rnacentral:misc_RNA from 1 species
GAUGAAGAACGCAGCGAAAUGCGAUAAGUAAUGUGAAUUGCAGAAUUCAGUGAAUCAUCGAAUCUUUGAACGCACAUUGCGCCCGCUAGUAUUCUGGCGGGCAUGCCUGUCCGAGCGUCAUUUCAACCCUCAAGCCCCCGGGCUUGGUGUUGGGGAUCGGCGAGCCUCCGCGCCCGCCGUCCCCUAAAACUAGUGGCGGUCUCGCUGUAGCUUCCUCUGCGUAGUAGCACACCUCGCACUGGGAAACAGCGCGGCCACGCCGUUAAACCCCCAACUUCUGAACGUUUGACCUCGGAUCAGGUAGGAAUACCCGCUGAACUUAAGCAUAUCAAUAAGCGGAGGA